UACGGAGGGUGCAAGCGUUAAUCGGAAUUACUGGGCGUAAAGCGCGCGUAGGCGGUUUGUUAAGUUGGAUGUGAAAGCCCUGGGCUCAACCUGGGAACUGCAUUCAAAACUGGUGAACUAGAGUACAGCAGAGGCAAGUGGAAUUUCAGGUGUAGCGGUGAAAUGCGUAGAGAUCUGAAGGAACACCAGUGGCGAAGGCG
rnacentral:rRNA from 1 species